rnacentral:rRNA from 1 species
UACGUAGGGAGCAAGCAUUGUCCGGAUUCACUGGGUGUAAAGGGUGCGCAGGCGGACUUGUAAGUCAGGGGUGAAAUCUCACGGCUUAACCGUGAAACUGCCUUUGAUACUGCAGGUCUUGAGUUCGGGAGAGGUUGAUGGAAUUCCAGGUGUAGCGGUGAAAUGCGUAGAUAUCUGGAAGAACACCAGUGGCGAAGGCGGUCAACUGGCCCGUAACUGACGCUCAGGCACGAAAGCGUGGGUAGCGAACAGG